GUAGUUACGGAUUCUAUCGCUUCUGCUUUGUAGAAGAGGAAAGUCCGGACAAGGAAGAGAAACAUAGCGGAUAACAUCCGUCCUCCGUAAGGAGCGGACAAGUGCAACAGAAAGCAAGUACAGUUAGGCUGUAGUGAAAUCAUGUAAACUCUAUGUCUUGAAAUGUCAUGUAUACUAAGAUUUGAGGUUUUCUCGACCAACUUAGGGGGUAGACAGAUAGAGAUGAAAAGUAAUUUUUAUCCUAGAUAAAUGAUAGAAACCAUUUGGUAACAGAAUCCGGCUUAUGAGUAACUGCAAAA
rnacentral:RNase_P_RNA from 1 species